CUAGCAUAUCAAUAAACGGAGGAAAAGAAACCAACAGGGAUUGCCCUAGUAACGGCGAGUGAAGCGGCAACAGCUCAAAUUUGAAAUCUGGCUCUCUUUGGGGGUCCGAGUUGUAAUUUGCAGAGGAUGCUUUGGCAUUGGCGGCGGUCUAAGUUCCUUGGAACAGGACAUCGCAGAGGGUGAGAAUCCCGUACGUGGGCGCCUGCCUUUGCCGUGUAAAGCUCCUUCGACGAGUCGAGUUGUUUGGGAAUGCAGCUCUAAAUGGGAGGUAAAUUUCUUCUAAAGCUAAAUACCGGCCAGAGACCGAUAGCGCACAAGUAGAGUGAUCGAAAGAUGAAAAGUACUUUGGAAAGAGAGUCAAAAAGCACGUGAAAUUGUUGAAAGGGAAGCGCUUGCAGCCAGACUUGCCCGCAGUUGCUCACCUAGGCUUUGGCCUGGGGCACUCUUCUGCGGGCAGGCCAGCAUCAGUUUGGGCGGUUGGAUAAAGGCCUCUGUCACGUAUCUCCCUUCGGGGUGACCUUAUAGGGGAGGCGCAAUGCAACCAGCCCGGACUGAGGUCCGCGCAUCUGCUAGGAUGCUGGCGUAAUGGCUGUAAGCGGCCCGUCUUGAAACACGGACCAAGGAGUCUAACAUCUAUGCGAGUGUUUGGGUGUCAAGCCCGGGCGCGCAAUGAAAGUGAACGGAGGUGGGAACCCUUUGGGUGCACCAUCGACCGAUCCUGAUGUCUUCGGAUGGAUUUGAGUAAGAGCAUAGCUGUUGGGACCCGAAAGAUGGUGAACUAUGCUUGAAUAGGGUGAAGCCAGAGGAAACUCUGGUGGAGGCUCGCAGCGGUUCUGACGUGCAAAUCGAUCGUCAAAUUUGGGCAUAGGGGCGAAAGACUAAUCGAACCAUCUAGUAGCUGGUUCCUGCGACU
rnacentral:rRNA from 1 species